UACGUAGGGGGCAAGCGUUGUCCGGAAUCAUUGGGCGUAAAGCGCGUGUAGGCGGCCCGGUAAGUCCGCUGUGAAAGUCGGGGGCUCAACCCUCGGAUGCCGGUGGAUACUGUCGGGCUAGAGUGCGGAAGAGGCGAGUGGAAUUCCUGGUGUAGCGGUGAAAUGCGCAGAUAUCAGGAGGAACACCAAUGGCGAAGGCAGCUCGCUGGGACGGUACUGACGCUGAGACGCGAAAGCGUGGGGAGCAAACAGG
rnacentral:rRNA from 1 species